CAAUCAGCCCUUUUCAGGGCUACCAUAUUAAUUUAAACGUAUGAAU
rfam:Nasonia vitripennis chromosome 3, whole genome shotgun sequence.